rnacentral:rRNA from 1 species
AGUGAACGCUGGCGGUAGGCCUAACACAUGCAAGUCGAACGGCAGCACAGUAAGAGCUUGCUCUUACGGGUGGCGAGUGGCGGACGGGGGAGGAAUACAUCGGAAUCUACUUUUUCGUGGGGGAUAACGUAGGGAAACUUACGCUAAUACCGCAUACGACCUACGGGUGAAAGCAGGGGAUCUUCGGACCUUGCGCGAUUGAAUGAGCCGAUGUCGGAUUAGCUAGUUGGCGGGGUAAAGGCCCACCAAGGCGACGAUCCGUAGCUGGUCUGAGAGGAUGAUCAGCCACACUGGAACUGAGACACGGUCCAGACUCCUACGGGAGGCAGCAGUGGGGAAUAUUGGACAAUGGGCGCAAGCCUGAUCCAGCCAUACCGCGUGGGUGAUGAAGGCCUUCGGGUUGUAAAGCCCUUUUGUUGGGAAAGAAAAGCAGCAGGUUAAUACCCCGCUGUUCUGACGGUACCCAAAGAAUAAGCACCGGCUAACUUCGUG